rnacentral:scRNA from 1 species
CGGUAUCAAAUGAGGCCUUCCCCUCGUCAGGG